rnacentral:rRNA from 1 species
CCUACGGGAGGCAGCAGUGAGGAAUAUUGGUCAAUGGGCGCGAGCCUGAACCAGCCAAGUAGCGUGAAGGAUGACUGCCCUACGGGGUGUAAACUUCUGUUAUAAAGGAAUAAAGUGAGGCACGUGUGCCUUUUUGUAUGUACUUUAUGAAUAAGGAUCGGCUAACUCCGUGCCCGCAGCCGCGGUAAUACGGAGGAUCCGAGCUUUAUCCGGCUUUAUUGGGUUUAAAGGGAGCGUUGCUGGGUUGUUAAGUCAGUUGUGAAAGGUUGCGGCUCAACCGUACAAUUGCAUUUGAUACUGGCAGUCUUGAGUACAUUUGAGGUAGGCGGAAUUCGUGGUGUCGCGGUGACAUGCUUCGAUAUCAC